UCUACACCUAAGAUUGGCUGUGCGGGCAUUUCAAGAUAACCGAAUCGAUCAGUCCCACUAUAAAGUGAUUGCUGAAGGUUUUUCGCUUGACCUAUUCUCUCUUUGAAGAUCCGAUGACAUCUGCCUUGAUCAAGACUUUGGCGGUCACAACCCAAAACCUCAUGGCUUCUUCACAUUCACAUAAAUCGACACCGGGAUGUUUGGAAGUUACUUAUGGACGAUAGAGAACGCUGCUCUCCUAUCACUUAUCCGACCGCAUUCCAGAAACGGAACCGAAGAACGAGAAAUGUACAGUAUGUCGUUCUUUCUACAUUACGGGUUCCUCCUAUGGUUUUCGAAGGACUGCAUUAAUAAGGCUAUAGGAUCUCAGAAGGGCGC